GAUGAACGCUGGCGGCGUGCCUAAUACAUGCAAGUCGAGCGAACAGACGAGGAGAUUGCUCCUCUGACGUUAGCGGCGGAAGGGUGAGUAACACGGGGAUAACCUAGCUAUAAGACGGGGAGAACGGCGGGAAAACGGAGCUAAGAACGGAUAAGAGAGGUAACCGCAUGGUUCAAUAGUGAAAGACGGUUUUGCUGUCAAGGAUAGAUGGAGCCGCGCCGCAUUAGGUAGUUGGGCAGGUAACGGCUUACCAAGGCAACGAUGCGUAGCCGACCUGAGAGGGUGAUCGCACCCACUGGCGCUUCUCAAGCGUCCCUCCUCCUACGGCCUCCCGCCGUAUGGCUUCUUCCGCAAUGGGCGACAUCCUCACGGAGCAACGCCGCGUGAGUGAUGAAUGUCUUCGUAUCGUAAAACUCUGUUAUUAGGGCAGAACCCCUUUGUAAGUAACUAUGCACGUCUUGCCGGUACCUAAUCAGAAAGCCACGGCUAACUACGUG
rnacentral:rRNA from 1 species